AUGGAGUCAGGAGAAGGAGAUGGUGCUGGUGCUACUGCUGCAGCAACAACAACAGAAGAGAGAGCAAAGAUUCUGAAGAGGAAUUCCGAUGAUAUGGGUUGGGCUUAUGGUCAGCUUGUUGAUCCUAACAAUCUUCAGAGAGUGAAGUGCAAUUUCUGCAGUCAGAUUUUUACGGGAGGUAUUUACCUGCUAAAGCAACACAUUGCGGCGAACUCAAAUGCAAUGAGGACCUGCCCGCGUCCUAUAGAUAAGUGGACACGUACAAUUGACCCCAAGUUAUCCGGAGAAGCAAGACUCAAGCAAAUGAACAUUAACAAGUCUGAGUAUGCAAGAACCAAGAGUGAACUCAAGGAACGAGAGGUUGAGAAGGGCAAGCAUGGUUGCUCUCUCAUGACUGAUGCUUGGACUGACAUGAAGAGGAGAAGCAUUAUGAAUCUGGUCACACAUUGCUCGGAAAGUGUUAGCUUCAUCAAGUCAAAGGAAACAUCAGACACACCGCAUACAAGUGAGAUGAUCUUCAAUCUAGUUGACAAGACAAUUGAAGAAUUAGGUGCUGAACAUGUGGUGCAGGUUGUGACUGACAAUGCUUCAAACAACAUGGGGGCUAAGGAUCUCUUGAAAGUGAAGAGGUCGAAGAUAUUUUGGAGCACAUGUGCGACUCACACUGUCAAUUUGAUGCUCCAAGGGAAUGGCAACUUAGCUAAAAAGAUGGUGGUUUCCUCUAAGUGGGAUAAGAUCAAGGAUGUGCACUCAAAGAAAGGAAAGGAUGCUACAGCCAUAAUUCUUAACAAGCCCUUCUGGAAGGGUGUGAAUCUUUGCAUCAAGGUGUUCGAGCCAUUGGUGAAGGUCCUCUGGUUGGUUGAUGGUGAUGCACGACCCUCAAUGGGCUUUCUAUAUGGAGAGAUUGUGAAGGCAAAGAAAGAAAUCAAAGAGGCCUUUGGUAACAUCGAGGCGCGGUACAAAGAUGUGUUAGCUAUAGUUCAAAAGAAGAUGAAAGAUAGGCUUGAUGCCCCACUGCAGUUGACUACAUAUUUGCUGAAUCCACACUAUAGCUAUGCAGAUGACAACAUAUUUGAUUUUGUUGACAUCAAUACAGCCUUCUAUUCUUUGGCUUGGUGGAGAAUGUAUGGAGGUGAGACACCAGGGCUGAAGGACAUGGCUAUGAAGAUCCUUUCUUUGACCUCAAGUUCUUCCGGCUGUGAGAGAAAUUGGAGUUGUUUUGAGUCGCUUCAUCGAAGUGCAAGGGUUAGAGAUCUCCAUGAUGAAGAGUUUGAGUCAGACGAAGAAGAAGUAGAGGAGACAGAUUCAGAGGAGGAGGACAUAGAGUACGAGGAUGAUGAAGAUGAAGUGGUGACUGGGCGCACUUAUGGGGAUGAGGACUGA
rnacentral:rRNA from 1 species